rnacentral:lncRNA from 1 species
CACAUCCGUUCCAAUCAGCAGCUGGUACCCAGCUACUCGGAGGUGUUGCUCAUGGACCUAGUCGAGCUGGGCUCGCGCUGCGGCGGGCCAGGGGGUGGCUUCGUGCCCAGGUGUCGCUACGGAGGGGUUGGUGGCCCGGGCGCGGCGGGCGUGACCCCGCACUGGCGGAGCUGCGAGCACUGUCAGCGAGCGGUCAGCAGCUCGUCCAUCUUCUCGCGCAGCGCGCUGAGUAUCUGCGCCAGCCCGCGGGCCGCCCAGGGCCCCGGAGCGAGUGCCGGGUGCGGGGGCAGCCGCUUCUCACUCAGCCGCCUCUAUGGUUCUCGGCGCAGCUGCUUGUGGCGCAGCCGGAGCGGGAGUGUCAACGAGGCGAGCUGCCCCACGGAGCAGACCCGUCUGUCGAGCCAGGCCAGCAUGCGGGACAACGAGGACGACGACGACGAGGAGGAGGCUGGGCCACCACCGCCCUACCACGACGCCCUAUGUUUCCCUGUCCUCAUUGUCCAUCGGCAGGAGGGGUGUCUGGGCCACA